GACGAACGCUGGCGGCGUGCUUAACACAUGCAAGUCGAGCGGAGCGGCGAACGGGUGAGUAACGCGUGAGUAACUGCCCCCCUCUCUGGGAUAACAGUUGGAAACGGCUGCUAAUACUGGAUAGUGGGGGAUGACUCGCGUUCUAUUGGCUGGUUGGUGGGGUAGUGGCUGACUAGGGCGUCGACGGGUAGCCGGCCUGAGAGGGCGACCGGCCGCAUAGGGCUGUGGUACGACCCAAACUCCUACGGGAGGCAGCAGUGGUGAGUAUUCCACAAUGGGGGAGGCCCUUAUGCAGCAAGGCGCGUGCGGUGUGACGGUCUGCGGGUUAUGAACCGCUUUCAGCCGGGUCGCGUUAGUGUCAGUAAAAGCCCCGGCUAACUACGUGCCAGCAGCCGCGGUAAUAC
rnacentral:rRNA from 1 species